rnacentral:rRNA from 1 species
UACGUAGGGGGCUAGCGUUGUCCGGAUUUAUUGGGCGUAAAGAGCGUGUAGGCGGCCAGGUAGGUCUGCUGUGAAAACUCGAGGCUCAACCUCGAGACGUCGGCGGAAACCAUCUGGCUAGAGUUCGGCAGGGGAGACUGGAAUUCCUGGUGUAGCGGUGAAAUGCGUAGAUAUCAAGUGGAACACCAGUGGCGAAGGCGAGUCUCUGGACAUUUCCUGACGCUGAGGCACGAAAGCCAGGGGAGCAAACGGG